rnacentral:rRNA from 1 species
UGGAGAAUCCCGUGAACCAUCGAGUCUCUAAACGCAAGUUGCGCCUGAAGCCAUUAAGCCGAUGACGCACCUGCUUGGGCGUCACACGCCGUUUCCCCACCCAGCACUUCCAUUGGAAGCAUCGGUGGGCGGACGAUGGCUUUCAGUGCGUCACCACGCGUGGUUGGCACAAAUGUUUAGUCCCCGGUGAUGAACGCCACGACAAUCGUUGGUUGCCAAACCUCGGUUGCCUGUUGUGCACUUUCAUCGAGCUCUGGGCGAUUCACGAUGCUCACUGCUUUGCUUCGGUGGAGCCUUCAGCGCGACCCCAGGUCAGGCAGGGUUACCUACUAAA